rnacentral:rRNA from 1 species
UACGUAGGGUGCGAGCGUUGUCCGGAAUUAUUGGGCGUAAAGAGCUUGUAGGCGGUUUGUCGCGUCUGCCGUGAAAUUUCGAAGGCUCAACCUCGAACUUGCGGUGGGUACGGGCAGACUAGAGUGUGGUAGGGGAGACUGGAAUUCCUGGUGUAGCGGUGAAAUGCGCAGAUAUCAGGAGGAACACCGAUGGCGAAGGCAGGUCUCUGGGCCACUACUGACGCUGAGAAGCGAAAGCAUGGGGAGCGAACAGG